rnacentral:rRNA from 1 species
UACGGGGGGUGCGAGCGUUGUCCGGAUUUACUGGGCGUAAAGGGCGCGUAGGCGGUCAGCACAAGUCAGUUGUGAAAUCUCCGGGCUUAACUCGGAAAGGUCAACUGAUACUGUGCGACUAGAGUGGCAGAAGGGGCAACUGGAAUUCUCGGUGUAGCGGUGAAAUGCGUAGAUAUCGAAGAGGAACACCUGCGGCGGAAGGCGGGUUGCUGGGCUGACACUGACGGCUGAGGCGCGAAAGCCCAGGGAGCGAACGGG